rnacentral:rRNA from 1 species
AGUGAACGCUGGCGGUAGGCCUAACACAUGCAAGUCGAACGGCAGCACAGUAAGAGCUUGCUCUUACGGGUGGCGAGUGGCGGACGGGUGAGGAAUACAUCGGAAUCUACUUUUUCGUGGGGGAUAACGUAGGGAAACUUACGCUAAUACCGCAUACGACCUACGGGUGAAAGUAGGGGAUCUUCGGACCUUGCGCGAUUGAAUGAGCCGAUGUCGGAUUAGCUAGUUGGCGGGGUAAAGGCCCACCAAGGCGACGAUCCGUAGCUGGUCUGAGAGGAUGAUCAGCCACACUGGAACUGAGACACGGUCCAGACUUCUACGGGAGGCAGCAGUGGGGAAUAUUGGACAAUGGGCGCAAGCCUGAUCCAGCCAUACCGCGUGGGUGAAGAAGGCCUUCGGGUUGUAAAGCCCUUUUGUUGGGAAAGAAAAGCAGCAGGUUAAUACCCCGCUGUUCUGACGGUACCCAAAGAAUAAGCACCGGCUAACUUCGUG